GAGUUUGAUCCUGGCUCAGGACGAACGCUGGCGGCGUGCUUAACACAUGCAAGUCGAGCGGUAAGGCCCUUCGGGGUACACGAGCGGCGAACGGGUGAGUAACACGUGGGUGAUCUGCCUUGCACUCUGGGAUAAGCCUGGGAAACUGGGUCUAAUACCGGAUAUGACCUUCGACUGCAUGGUCGAGGGUGGAAAGAUUUAUCGGUGCAAGAUGAGCCCGCGGCCUAUCAGCUUGUUGGUGGGGUAAUGGCCUACCAAGGCGACGACGGGUAGCCGGCCUGAGAGGGCGACCGGCCACACUGGGACUGAGACACGGCCCAGACUCCUACGGGAGGCAGCAGUGGGGAAUAUUGCACAAUGGGCGGAAGCCUGAUGCAGCGACGCCGCGUGAGGGAUGACGGCCUUCGGGUUGUAAACCUCUUUCGACUCCGACGAAGCGAGAGUGACGGUAGGAGUAUAAGAAGCACCGGCCAACUACGUGCCAGCAGCCGCGGUA
rnacentral:rRNA from 1 species